UUGGUAUCUUUGCUUUCUUCGCAAUUGUUAGAAAGAGAAGAAUCUCGAUUCGAUUUUUUCUCUCACAGCAAUAGAACAAUAUAAAACUUCAUAAUUUUGCGAGCGAAUUAAUGUAUAUUUCCCAUUUCCGGUCCAACUAAGCAAUGAACAUCCACCAACACUAAAGCGACAUCUAUGAAUGGCUAGGCCAGGCUAAUGGUUCCUAACAACAGACGAGCCUGAUAGCAGCAAUGUUGCUGGACGAGAUGUUGCAUAAACAUUGAAGGACCAAAACCACAAAUUGUUGCCAACAACCCCAGACAACAACUCUACUAACUGUAUUCGAAACGGAUUGUCUUAAAUUAAAAUAAACGAACGAAUUAAUUGGAUACAUAUAAGGAUAACAGAAUAAACCGGAAAGCAUAUCAAAAGAAAUCGAAACCAUUUAGAAAAACCCCCUAAGAACUAUACACAGGAAUAGAAAAGGAUUUGUGGCUAAUUUAAGUGAUACGACUUAACUAUUCACACACACAUAUUACAAUAGUCACAUUAUAAGACUAAUAAACGCACAAAGGAUAUUUCACGCCAAACCCUGGACACAUCUACAUUAUUCAUACACAAAGUAUAUUCUCAGAGAGGCCAACACAAGUCAGACUAGGAUCUUUGCAAUCCAUUAAAAACCCCCCAUCAAAAUAUGACAUCAUAUGCCACAUUACGCGACAAUUUAAGGUCGCGUGAGGAAGACCUAACAUCCCAUUCUAAUUCUGCAACACCCUCGACUCCACCACCAGAAGAUUUAGCCACGGCGGCACGUACGAAAAAAAUAGCCGCACCCCUGACCCCUGAUUCCUUUUCGGAAAGUGAACGCGAGAAAAUGGACUCAACGCCGGAGAAUAUAAAAAAGAUCGAUGAUGUCAUUAAUGAUCACCAUCUACAUCAUUCAAAUCAACAAGCGGACGGUGGUUUGUCGCCCCGUUCAGAACGCUAUUCAUCAAGUUUUGUACCAAUUGGCCUGGCUGCAGCUGUAGACGAUUCAAAUGCUAAACUCUGUCCAAAAGGAAUGUUUACUGGUAAAAGCGGCAGCGGCAGUAACAAAGAUACAAAAACAGCAACAAAUUGCACCAGUGAAGUUGAUAACAAAAAUGAUGAAGACGAGGAAAAGUGUAGUACGGAUUCAACACGACAACAGCGAACAGCAGUUACGGCGGCAGGUAUAGACGAAUCGACACGCGUCCAACAAAACGAUCAAGACGAUAAUGAUGAGUCAAUAUCGUCAUCGAAUGGCGGUACUACUAUGACAACGUCAGCUAGGCAAUCGUUGGCUUUUACAAUUGACAAUUUCAACGAUAAGGAAUGUGAUGCUGCCGCACAGGCGGCAAAAUACAAAAGUAUGAUGGAACGUUUUCAAAAUCGGCAUCGUCGCGGUGCCUCCAUGUCAAAAUUGGAGAACGAUGAGUCAGGCAAAGCUCAGACACCUACACGCCUAACAAGCUCACAGUCUUCAACGCCGUUAACAAACACCAGAUCAUCUGCCCGUAGCUCGGUGACAAGUGAAGAAAACAAUGCAAAUUCAUUGGACUCGGACGCGUCUGCCCCACAAAAGGUUAAACUGCGAGUGCGUGAUCGCAGCACAUCGCGUGUACGCGAUGCCUCAAAGCGCCACAGCUGGUCGCCACGUUCAAGCACAAAUGAAAAUACUCUCCAAACUCCUCAGUCGCAGACAUCAACAACGGCCACUUCAGCUAACUCAACAGCACUUCCACGUAAAACCACCACAAAAACUGCAAACAAACCGGCCCCAACACAAGUUCCCAAAGGUGCUGCCAAUCUUGUGGCUAAUCGUACUCAGUUUACACCACGAUCUACUGCCAUGCAAUUGGCUUUGAAGCAAAUUGAUUAUAUGUGUCCACAACCGCCACUGGCCGACUUUAAGCAUCUAAAUGCCGAUGCCGAUGAUGUCAGUGAAGCUGGCACGUAUACCUUGGACGGUGAUAAUUAUACUGAAGAACAAAAGGAUAUUAUGAACAUAGAUAAAUAUGGCCAAAGCACGCUUCCAACAACAACUACAAAUAAAUGCCGUCCUAAAGAACUUGAUGCCAUUACUCCUACACCGAAACAACGACAAAGUAUAGAAUCGAAAAGAUCCAACAAUGUAUUGGAGGUAAACUAUUAUCAUGAUGCUGAAGGUCCGGAACAGAUGACGAAGGCACGCACAAAUACAGCACCCUCGGAUCUUAUAAUGGGUUCACAUCAAUCAGCCGGAGCUUAUUUGGAGAAGAUCAAAUCAAGAGUGUUGCGCAACAUGAACGCCACUAAGCAAAUUGCCGAUACUAAGCAGGAAAUAUUGAAACCUAAGUUAUCCAAUGAUGACGAUGACAGUGAAGUUGAUACCGGUUGUUUUACCAGUGUAACAACUAGUGGCGUCUUGGCUAAACAAAGAACCCUGGAUGCCCAUCCCAAACUGUCAAGACACAGCGGAUUGUCCACAUCCCAAAUUGAUAGUUCCGAAUAUGUGAGCAAUGAAACAAAACUGAAAACUUCUGGAACGCCACCCUCAUUUGCUAGUGGAUACACCGAUCAUCAAAAAGCUGAAUAUCGUCUUAAUGUCUUUACUAAUCAAAAGGAUGCAUCACAAAAAUUCGCCGCUACAAGAAAUCUAAUUGAAACGCCACCGGAGACACCAACAGGACCCCAACCUACUUCUAAGUUAAGUGAGGUUGCUGUUUUACAGACAGCGCAAACGAAACAUGACUGGAUACAGGAAUGGGCUCGUAACGCUCGGGCGAGAAGCUUGGCAAAUGACCGACACAGUACUGGGGCGAGACAAUCUAACAACGAUAUGUUGAUGACUCGAUCAUACACCUGUGCCGACACAGGCAAUGACUCACUUACAGAUGACAGUCUUUAUAGUGCAAAUUGUAAACAGUUUAAUGCUAAGCUGAAUCGCACUUUGGCGGAUCGUUAUCGCAUAUCAGGUGGUAAUGGUGACUGUGAUUAUGCCAGCGAUCCUUCCCUGGCAAGUUCUUGUACAAAGCCACCUAAAAGUCCAACAAAGAUUCCAUCGCCGCUCCAUACAUUGGGCCGAGCUCGCAGUGCCAGUCGCACAAGAGCAUCCUUGCAAAAUGUUAUGCCUCCAGACGAAGAAGAUUAUUUGCAGCAAACAGCUGCAGCCAUAAAUAACUUGCAACAAAGUCUGUCACGGAAAAAUUCUCUUAAGUCGCCCUCCCAUUCAGGUUCACCUCGUGCCCAUUCCGCACGUUCACAUAUCAUGUAUUCCCCUGAAGGUACUGGUGUUGAGUGCAGUCCUCAACACAGUCUUAAUUCACAACGACAGCAACGCCAAGCCACACAGAAUUUGAUGACGAGCAGUAUUAAUGAGCAGCAGUUGCAAUUGUUGACUAGUGGAGAAUAUCUGCUGCGACAGAUGCGUAUGCGUAAGAACUCCUUUGAUGGCAACCUUAACGGUUCGCCACAUCGGAGAGUCUUGCAAGCUGGUGUUCCGCCACAAGUACAGUCGCCGACUACUCCAACUGCUCCGACAAACGAGGAAUCACUAUCGCCACUACGAAGAUCAAGUUCUUUCUCGGCUCGAGUGGCAGCCACUCAAAAGUCAGGUCGUCCCAACUUCCAGAACUUGUACACUCCUCCAGCGGCUCGCCAUAGUUAUGGUCUUAGUCCAGCACCACCACAACAAACCUCCAUUCAGCCAGGGAAUCCUAUUAAGAAAUCGGCCAGUAGCAACAAUUUUGGUCAAGCCUACAGUGAUUAUGACGACAACUUACAGUAUUACAUUAACGACGAAGAUGACCAGGAUGAUAUGGGUGAGGAAUACUAUUCUAGUGGUGGAGAUGAUAAUAUAGAACAGGAACCAGGUUAUUAUGACGAUGCAGAACCAGAAAACAAUGUCCCUUUGUCAAAUACUAGAUACAAUAAGGCUUUGUUAAUGCGUAUUGAGCGCAGCAAGCAAAAAGUUGCGGGCAAACCUCAAUCCGCACCUCCUACAAAGCCAUCUAUGUUACUGGCUGGAGGUGGCGUUAUGGCAUGUCCUAAUACUCCGGAGUUACCUCGAAGAAAUGUUAAAAGCGCAACCACUCGGUCUACUAUGGCCUCACAACGUCAGUCCAUGCCACGAGAUACUAGUCUUAGUCGCCUAGCACAACAGGUGCCCAACUCAUUGGCUUCAGCCAAGAAACAACUAUUACAAACUGCUGCCAAUGUACCAUCAUCCACUGCUACAACGCAACGUUCCACAUCUAGUCAACGGGCCACGCCACGCUAUUUAGAUAUUUCGAAAUACAAACCCGCCCAAAGUAAUCAUUUCUUACGUAAAAAUGAUGCCAAAAGUACUCUUAAGCCACAAACAAAUUCGAAUGAAAUUAUGAAACGUAGUCCUAGCAGUUCGUCGAUGGGCCUUUCGCGUACUGAUCCCUCUAGGACCAGUAAUCGCUCAGUACGUUCGGCCAGUUCUGCAAUGACCAGUAGUGUAACCUCACUGGGAGGUAGUAAUGCCAGAGCUUCUUCGGCAGUUAGAAGAGAUGCCUCAGUAUCUAAACAAAAGGAAGCCGAAAUGGCAAUGUGGAAACGUAGAUCCAAAUAUGAUCCCAUGAAAGCUGCUGCCGAAGAUCGACGUAAAAAAGAAGAAGCUAAACGUUUGGCUCAAGCUCAACAAAUGGGCGUUGUUGGUAUGCCAACUGAGAGACAAUCGAGGUCUCUUUACCGUCGAGGGCAAUUAUGACCGGAGGGGUUGCUUGUGACAGAUCUCUAAACAGAUCCUCUGAGAUUUGUAACGAAAUUAUACACGAUCUUUGAAUAAAAUAAAAACCAUGAGUUCUUAUAGUCGUCGAUGUCUUCUGUCAACGACUACGAUCAAGAUAUUACAGAACACACAAACAAAAAAAUAUAUAGACCAUGUACUAACAUCGAAAUACGAAAUGAAAACAUAUAAAGCCCCAUUUUAUAUUAUGAACAAAAAAAUUAAAUAACGAAACGGUGAUUGUAACACUAAAUGCAUACAAUGUUGAAAAAUAUAAACUAAAAAAAUCAUGGUAUACGGUUUAGUGUUUUACUAAUUAACCACUUUAAUUAAAAUCAAGUAAAAAAAAUAUAAAAUACAAGUCAUACUUAUGUAGAACGUAAAUAGACAAAGUGCAAUUACAAUAUAUAUAAUCAAAAUAUAUAUGAUUUGGUAAAAACGACGCCUACGACGAAUACGUACAACGACAGACAUUUAUACUUGGCAGACCAUAUGUCUCUGCCAAUUACCGCGUCCCACAAUGACAACGUAUCGAAUAUAAAACGAACGAUCCUUGGAACAGCAAUGGUCUAUAGAAGAAUCUGGAGAUUAUGAUGAGGAUGAAUGUGUCUAAGCGAGGGCUCCUGGACGCUUAUUUCAGACAUCAGAAACCUAACUAAAAAUUCCUGUAAUAUUUUUAAAUAUAAUGCUUUAUAUUUUGGAAAUGAAAAAGCUUAGAGUAAGACUUUUUUGUUUUGUAUAACAUAAGAAAGAGAAGAAACAAAUAUACAACGUGAUAUAGCUUACCUUAAACAAUGAAUGGAAAUUAGAAAACCAGAAACAAACGUUCAGUGACCGAUCGGUCAAACGUUGAACAUUACACAAUGAUGAGGAUUAGGAUUUGUAUGAUUACAUUUUAUGCAAACAACUAGCGUAGAAUAUACAGAAAUAUAUAUUGUUAAAUGGAGGAAAGCACAUUUGUCCUAUUCUACUGUUACUAACAAACAAAACAUAAAAUUAUAUUCGAUAGAAAGUCGUUUUUGUAUAAUUUUAACUUCAUCUAUGUAUAUUUUUAUAUGAAUAUUAAACAUGUAUUUUAUUUAUAUAUAAAUCUAGAUUAUUUACGCAUUCGUUUGUGUAGAACGAAUACCUAGCAGAGAACUAUUCUCGAUUUAGUUAUGGUGAUUUCAAAUUUGAAUUUGUAAUUUGUUGAACAUUAUUUGAUACCUUUCUCUAUAUUAUCAUCAUCACAGCAAUGCUUAACUAUAAAAUUAUAACAGAAUUUUAGCUUAUAAAUGCAACUGUAUUGCUUAGAUAUUAAACAAAGAAAUUGAAGAAAGAUUAUCGUAUAUUUUUAACAAUUUUGUAUUGUUAAAACAAAAUUAAUAGAACUGAACAAUGCGUUGUAACGUGUUAUACUUUUCUGAAAGCAAAAGCAAAAACAAAACAAAAAACGCCCCAAAUAAUGUUGUGAAAUCAAUUUUAAUUUAGAUUUAUAUAUUUUUAGUUACUCUAUUCUCUAUAUAAAUUAAUUUUAUUAAAAUUUAUCCUUAAAUGGUACUAAUACUCAAAAAUAAAAUAAUUUAAUAAUAAUUACAAAAAAUAUCAAGAUAUCUUACCGUAUAUGAAAAAUAUUGAAAAUCAAACCAACUGUAUUUUCCCGAAGAACGUAAAAUUGUAGAGUCUGAACAAGAUUUGAGUUUUAUUUUAAAUAAAUAAAUGGAAUUGUGAGAAA